GGGACGAAGAAAGUGACGGUACCCGAGGAGGAAGCCCCUGCUAACUACGUGCCAGCAGCCGCGGUAAUACGUAGGGGGCGAGCGUUGUCCGGAGUUAUUGGGCGUAAAGGGCGUGUAGGCGGCUUGUUAAGUCAGGUGUGAAAUUUCAGGGCUUAACCCUGAAACUGCGCUUGAAACUGGCAGGCUCGAGGACAGGAGAGGGAAGUGGAAUUCCCGGUGUAGCGGUGGAAUGCGUAGAUAUCGGGAGGAACACCAGUGGCGAAGGCGGCUUCCUGGACUGUACCUGACGCUGAGGCGCGAAAGCUAGGGGAGCAAACAGGAUUAGAUACCCUGGUAGUCCUAGCCGUAAACUAUGAGUGCUAGGUGUGGGAGGUUAAAAUCCUUCCGUGCCGGAGUUAACGCAAUAAGCACUCCGCCUGGGGAGUACGGCCGCAAGGCUAAAACUCAAAGGAAUUGACGGGGGCCCGCACAAGCAGUGGAGCGUGUGGUUUAAUUCGACGCAACGCGCAGAACCUUACCAGGGCUUGACAUCAUAGUGCAAAGUCUGGAAACAGACUCCCUGUAGCAAUACAGCGCUAUGACAGGUGUUGCAUGGUUGUCGUCAGCUCGUGUCGUGAGAUGUUGGGUUAAGUCCCGCAACGAGCGCAACCCCUAUUUGGUGUUGCCACCGGGUAGAGCCGGGCACUCACCAGAGACUGCCGGAGACGAUCCGGAGGAAGGUGGGGAUGACGUCAAAUCAUCAUGGCCCUUAUGCCCUGGGCCACACACGCGCUACAAUGGCCGGUACAACGGGCAGCCAAGGCGCAAGCCGGAGCGAAUCCUAAAAAGCCGGUCCCAGUUGGGAUUGGGGGCUGAAACUCGUCCCCAUGAACAUGGAAUUGCUAGUAAUCGCGGAUCAGCCACGCCGCGGUGAAUACGUUCCCGGGCCUUGUACACACCGCCCGUCAAGCCAUGGGAGCUGGCAACACCCGAAGUCGGUGAUCUAACUCGCAAGAGGGGAAGCUGCCGAAGGUGGGGCUAGUGACUGGGGCUAAGUCGUAACAAGGUAGCCGUAUCGGAAGGUGCGGCUGGAUCA
rnacentral:rRNA from 1 species